rnacentral:rRNA from 1 species
CUACGGGUGGCACCAGUGAGGAAUAUUGGGCAAUGGAGGAAACUCUGACCCAGCCAUGCCGCGUGCAGGAAGACGGCCCUAUGGGUUGUAAACUGCUUUUGUACGAGAAUAAACCUUUCCACGUGUGGAAAGCUGAAGGUACCGUACGAAUAAGGAUCGGCUAACUCCGUGCCAGCAGCCGCGGUAAUACGGAGGAUCCAAGCGUUAUCCGGAUUUAUUGGGUUUAAAGGGUCCGUAGGCGGGUUUUUAAGUCAGUGGUGAAAGCCUACAGCUCAACUGUAGAAUUGCCAUUGAUACUGGAGACCUUGAGUGUAGUAGAAGUAGGCGGAAUAAGGCAUGUAGCGGUGAAAUGCAUAGAUAUGCCUUAGAACACCGAUUGCGAAGGCAGCUUACUAUGUUACAACUGACGCUGAGGGACGAAAGCGUGGGGAGCGAACAGGAUUAGAUACCCUGGUAGUC